rnacentral:rRNA from 1 species
GCCCUCUUUGAGGGAGUGGCGGACGGGUGAGUAACGCGUGGGAACGUGCCCAAAGGUUGGGAAUAACUUGGGGAAACUCAAGCUAAUACCUAAUACGCCCUUCGGGGGAAAGAUUUAUCGCCUUUGGAUCGGCCCGCGUUGGAUUAGCUAGUUGGUGAGGUAAUGGCUCACCAAGGCGACGAUCUAUAGCUGGUUUGAGAGGAUGAUCAGCCACACUGGGACUGAGACACGGCCCAGACUCCUACGGGAGGCAGCAGUGGGGAAUCUUGGACAAUGGGGGCAACCCUGAUCCAGCCAUGCCGCGUGAGUGAAGAAGGCCCUAGGGUUGUAAAGCUCUUUCGCCUGCGAGGAUAAUGACCGUAGCAGGAUAAGAAGCCCCGGCUAACUCCGUGCCAGCAGCCGCGGUAAUACGGAGGGGGCUAGCGUUGUUCGGAAUUACUGGGCGUAAAGCGCGCGUAGGCGGAUCAGUCAGUCAGGGGUGAAAUCCCGGGGCUCAACCCUGGAACUGCCUUUCAUACUGGCGAUCUUGAGUUCGAGAGAGGUGAGUGGAAUUCCCAGUGUAGAGGUGAAAUUCGUAGAUAUUGGGAAGAACACCAGAGGCGAAGGCGGCUCUCUGGCCUAUUACUGACGCUGAGGUGCGAAAGCGUGGGGAGCGAACAGGAUUAGAUACCCUGGUAGUCCACGCCGUAAACGAUGAAAGCUAGUUGUUGGCGAGCAUGCUUGUCAGUGACGCAGCAAACGCAUUAAGCCUUCCGCCUGGGGAGUACG